GGGUGAUGGCUGUUCUCUGCUAAGCUGCUUUAGAGCUCUUUUUUAUCCCUUUUAGUAGUUAACUACCUUCUACACAGUUAACAAUUACUUAUAUUAAAACCUUCCUGUUCACAUUUCCUCCUCCUUGGACUAGAUGAUCAAAACGAACAUCCCCACUGUGGGGCAGAUGGGCAUUGUGUGCCUCGAGAUGCGAUGCCCUGAGAGGCCGCGUGACGCAGGUAGUGGUUCAGCCACCUGGAAUGCAAAACCAAAUCUAAUCACGAGGAAAUCGCAGACAAACACAGAUAAGCAGCACCACCUAAAACGAACUGUAUCCUUACAAACUGUUCCUAUCAUCACAGACAAAGCUAUGGAAAUGAUCCAGAUUAAAGAAGACCAAGGAGACAUGACAACUCAACUGAUUACCUGAUCCAGACCAGAUCCAGCACCGCAGAGGGAAAGGUGCUAUAGAGGACACGAUGCGGCCAAUGGGAAUAUGAGUGGUGAGGUAUUCUAUCAGUGUUAGAUGGACGGAAUUUGACAACUGUACUGCAGUCGUCAGAGAGUAUCUUCUUCUUGGUAAGUACCCACUGAGGUAUUAGGGGUAAAAGGCCAUGACAGGUGUGGAGGCAGCAGGAGGGAGGGAGAGGGAGAGACAGGGGGUUGGCGCAAGGGAGAGAGAACGCACACACAUUUGAGAACACACAUGACAGAUAGAAUGGGACGAAAUGUUAAUAGGUGUAUCUGGGCAAAGGAUAUUUGAGCCUCAUUUGUACAGUUUUUAUUCUUGCAACUUUUCUGUAGCUUUGAAAUCAUUUCCAAGUAAAAUUAACUUUUUUAAAAGAGGCCAUACAAUAUAGCAGUGGUCCUCAACCAGGGCUGUGUCCUGGACACACCCUAGAGCACCUUAGAUGCUCUGGGACCCAGGCAUCUGUAGUUCUCAAAGUGCCCCGGUGCUUCCAAUGUGCAGCCACGGGCAGGAAACACCAGCCUAGUGGGUGAGCUCACUCACUAAAUUUCAGACAUGACGAGCAGUGCUUUUGCUCUCUGAAGAACAAGCACUGGGUAAUGCCAACACCUAGCCUCAGCUACACGGGGGAAGGGCAGAAACAAGAUGUUGAAUUUGCAUGGCCCUGGCCAACACAGACAACAUCCCCUUCUAGUGGUUCCCAGGCAAGAGAAAAAGGCAUUUCCAGGACAACUGUGCCAGGAAUUAAACACAAGUUAAAACUGGCAGGAGCUGGAAUGGUUUCCCAGACCUCAGAGCUACCUCCCCACCUCCAUCUUUUUGGUCUCACUGGUAAUAUGGCCAGUCUGGGUCCAGCUGGCAGAGCACACGGGAGGAGGCUGCUCUCUCACCAGGCAAACUGAGGACUGAGUACAGGAAGGGUGUGGAGAAUUAUCCUCUUGGGCAAGUUGAAGAACAAGGCUACUGCUUGGCAUAUUUCCCAAAGCCAUUUCCCACUCUAGAGGCCCUGUUCUGUCCUGUAGAAAGAGUGGAGAACAACCAACAUCACAGUCCAAAUAUUGCUCACCUCAGGGCCAGCCUGUGACAGGGUACCCACAGGAUGGUUCAUAUUGAAAACUGGGGGGACCAUGCUCGGGGGAGGUGGUGGUAGUGAAAGGUCACAAACAUUCUUGCCCACUGUGCAACAGGCAGGGGCAAGAGGUGGGAUGGGUCAGUAGUCACAUGAUAAAUCCCCCGGGGCCUCUGAAAUCACAUUCUGGUAACUUCCACUUUGUGAAAAGGAGUUAGUUUUUACUCCUCUCCUUUCCCGUGUCUUCUCCAUUUUCAGGUGGGACAGAUCUGCAUGAUAUUUGGGCAUCUCAAAACUGACGAGCCCAAAACUGACCAUGAGUCACACCCCCAGAUGUGUUCUCUAACUACUCCCUAGCUCUGUGACUUUGUUUCCCCAGUUGACUGAGCCAGAAACCUGGGACUCAUCCUAGAUGAGUCUUCUCUUCUCCCUUCUCUGUCCCACGUCCAAUCAAUGAUCGAAUUCCACCACUGUCCUGCCUCCAAACAGCCAGAAUCCACCGCUCACCACCGCCCCCAACAGUGCCCUGCUGCCCACUGCUAAGCUCUCUCAACUGCUAUGCCAGCCUAACUGAAGCCCAGUCACACCAAUUCAUCCUGGCUUCAGCACGGCCGGCUUGCAUCACCACCUUCUUCUCAGUUCACCUUCCAAAUCAAACCUCCAAAGAGCUGCUUCCACCUACAAGUCAGCUCUCACCUCCACAGGAUGUUCCGUAAGACACUAGAGGGCCUGGGCUUUCCUGCUUCUCCAACUUCUUUCCCCAGCCUUGUAUUUUAAGCUCCCUGCACACACAAUUUUGUUUCACACUCUUGUGUACCAUCUUUCAACAAAGCCUAUCCAGCCUCCAAGCUUGGGCAUCUCCUCCAGGAAGUCACCCCUGACCUCUCCGGAACUCCCCUUUGGACUCCCAUUCUAUUACUACAACCACUGCAGUGUGAAAAUUAUCUUCUCCUAUGUAUGUCUCCUAUACUAGGACUCCGAACUCCUUGAAGACAAGGACAGUAUCGCCACUGUAUCCCCAGUGCAUUGCACAAAGUAGAGCUCUAUAUUUCUAGGAUAUACUGGACUGAAAGCAUCUGUGGUUUUUUGAAUAUCAAGCCCUUUAGAAUCUGGCAACAGCUAUAACGAAAACACACGUAAACCAUGAUGAACUAUAGACAGCACCAACAAAGAAAACAUGAUACUGCUGCUCUGGAACUGAAAUAUCCCCCAAAUAAUGAAAAAUAAUAUGUUGGGGGCUGAUACAGAGUUUAUUGAAUUAGAUUUUUCUAUUUACAACUGAGAUCACAUCUACAUACUAUUUUGCUAGUCUACAUGGGUACAUUAUUUCCAACAAGCUUAAGACUUACCAUGAAUGGGCUCAUUCAUACAAAAACACACUCACACUAAUUCUUUUAAAACAGUAGUGCAUACAUUAUACUCCUCCUAUAAAGCCAACUUUGAUUAAAAACCACUAGUUUCAAAGCUCAGUCUCUGAUUUUGAAGAUGAACCAAGAUAUACGCCAUAUGAUCCUACAAUCUAUUUUAGUCAUUUUGUACAGCUGCUAUCUUAUUGGACUACAGUAAAUAUUUUUUAAAAGGACACCAAUGAGGGGCACCAUCUGGUGUUAACCUUAACCAGAAAGCUGGUUUCCUCCUCCUCCCCGCAAAAACCUUUGGCCAAGAGUUCUCCACUGUGAAGACUGAAAGGACCUGGUGACAUUUCGGCAUCAGUCCUGUUACCACUUGGAGGUAACAGAAGCAGGCUCGUGUCCUCCUUUAAUUCUACCACACUACAUGACUCGCAAUUGGUUCUGAAAUUAGAACGUUCACCAUCGUACUUAAAAUCUUAGGGGCAUGAAGAGUCAGCUAGAACAAGGAAAAAGAAAGUCGCAGGUAGUAGGUAAGUAGGUGGGCACAUGAAAAGCCAAGCUGCUCUGUCCAACACCAGUGUACAUGUGCUUUAACUAAAUGAACUCCAGAGGCCAACAGCAGCAGACCUGCUCAAUUCACCUUCCAAAUCAGAACAAGACCAAAAAGCUCAGGCUUGAGUUGUCAACUAUGCAUAGGUUCCGCCAGUGAUGAGGAGCUCGUAAGCAGGAUCUCUACUCCUUCUGCACAACACGAUGCAAGCACACAGCAUGCCCAGCAGCUGUUGAAAGAAAACAACAAUGGGGAAAAAAGGCUGAAAACCCUCUCAUGGCAGGUGUGUAUUUCUUUGUUGGUAAAAGAGCUGUUUCAAAGUUCAAUGACUUCAAAUCAUCAAAAAGGCAGUAACAACAGUGAUAGAAGGAAUUUCUUAUGAGUACAUUAUUUUUUAAGGAACUAAGUCCUAAGCUUCAGCUUCCCUCCCAGGAACUCUUCGUAAAGCCAGCAGGGAAUCAAGUCUCUCUUAUUUGGCAUCCCCACUACUAGUCUAGCGAGUGCUGUCCGAAAGAACUUUCUGCAGCGAUGGAGACAUACCACAUAUGCACUGUCAUGUGGCCUCAUGUGACUACUGAGCACCUGAAAUAUAGUUACUGCAACUGAGUUGCACUUUUAAUUUUAUUUAAAUUAAUUUAAAUGUAGACACAUGUGGCUAGUGGCUACCAUUCUGGACAGCAAAGGCCUGGGGAGUAGAAUGAGCAAGAAUGUGUGUGUUUAAUAGUGGUCUUUUCAGGUCUUUUGGUUUUUGGAAAACGAAAUUCAGUAUGUGAAUAGCCCUAUGGUAGAAAACAAAUUCUGAUGCCAAAAAAAAUGUAGUUGGAAGGUUUUUUGUUUCCUUCACAUUCACUAUUUUUGAAAUCCACGGUUCUGUGGUAUUACAUACAUAUUACUUUUGAAAGGUCACUCUUCCGUCAUCAUUUUAUUUCAAUAAGUCCUAAACCUUCUGUGGUAGCAUAUUGGAAUAGUAAUAAAGUCAUGCCAUGUUAUUUUGGAUAAGCAAAAGGAUUAAGCUGGAUUAAAGAGAAAAUGAUUCUAGAAUUUUUGACCUACCUUCUCCCAAAAUAUAAUUUUUUUGUGAGAUAAUUUGCUGUUCUAACUUCUCAUUGAUGAGGAAAAGCCUCAGUUAUUUGAUUUUAAAAGACAGGGUCCUCUGUACAUUUGGGGGUCAAUCUAAUUUCCGCAAAAUGUACCCAAUCCAUAAACAGACUCUCAAAGUUUGAAGUGGAAGAUUAACCACUACUAAGACACACAUACACAUAAGGAUGUCCUCAAUCUGAAUUCUCCAUGGUAUAAAGUCACCCACUCCAAUUUCUACCCUCACAUUAACCUAUAUUCUGCCCAUUCGGGAUAUAUAUUUCCUGCUCAAAUCCAUCAGUUUCACUAUUUCACCACUUGCACCAUUUGCACCAUUUCACCAUUUGCAAAGCACCUUAAACACACUUAAGAGGUGAAUAUUAUUUAAAGUUUACUAAACAAUUUAAGUCAAUUCUAGACCGAUGAAGUACCUAAUUCCUAGAGAAAUACAUUUCUGUUCUCUGUACAUCAAAACAUUGUUAGAACAGCUAUAAACUCAAAUGCAAUUAUGUUCUCAGGCAAUGUUAAAUUGAGCAAUAAAAAUGCUAAGCUCAGAAAUGACUGGUUUGCUAAGGGAAAAAAAAUCUCUCUUCCCACCCCCACCUCCCCACACUCCUUUCAAUUGGUUAACUUCUAUUAGAGAAGCCAGCAUUCUCAAAA
rnacentral:lncRNA from 1 species